UAACGGGUGAGCAAUCUACCUCCUAGUUGGGGAUAGCCCUUCUAACGAAGGAUUAAUACCGAAUAUAGUAUGGCAUCUUAUGUUGUCCAUACGAAAGGCUUCGGCCGCUGGGAGAUGAGCUCGCUUAAGAUUAGCUAGUUGGUGAGGUAACGGCUCACCAAGGCAACGAUCUUUAGCCGGCCUGAGAGGGUGAUCGGCCACAUUGGGACUGAGAUACGGCCUAGACUCC
rnacentral:rRNA from 1 species